UUGCAACCGGCAUAUAUGCUAGUUUAAGCCUAAAAAAACUCCACGUCCCAGCAAAAGCCCUCUUUUGCCCACCGCGCAGCAACCGCAACAAACCCUAGCGCCGCCCCCCUUCCCCCAACACAGAAGAUUCUUCCUGCGUGAUGGCGCUGCGCUCUCCCUCCAGCACUCGUCGGCAGGAUUGGCCGCCCGCGGACUCUCCGCCUCCCACCUAUCAGUCUUACCAGGGUGGAUCCAGCAAUGGAGCUGAAUCUGAUUGCUAGGAAGACGAAACAGGAGGUUAAUCAUUUGUUGGCAAAAUUAGAAAAAAAAGGAGUGGAGAUAGAUGGCAAGGUAGCUAGUAUUAUUGGCGAUGGGAUAACUAGAAUUAAAGUUGAAGCUGCGUGGGAGGACUUCGAUGAAUCAAACACGAAGCUGAUGGCAGCACUGCUCACUGCUGCAUCUAUGGCUGUUGGUUUCAUCAUGGGUUUAGACUGGCGAGAAAAUUGCUUCCGUAAGCAGUUUGACAAGAGGAGACAUACUUAGUUAAAUAGCAUAAGGCUUACGGGUGCAUUCUGUUUAUGGUAUGUAAAACCAAGUAGGUAAUCUUAGGAAAACACUGUUGGCUAAUUAUGAUGCGCAAAACCUAAGUUUUCUGUUUCAUGCUAUAAUGUGGUUUUGGCAUGUGCAAUGUAACUCUUGUUUGGUAACACCACAAGCUGCGUGGAGCAGGUGCCCCGUUAGGUACUGCAGGUUAAUUAGUGUUUGAUAAUCAAAGCAGGUGUGUGCGGUGAUUAUCUGUGGAUAUGGCAAUCAGAUGAUGGUCUAGGAUUUGUGGCUUCACUUGCAUAAAUAAAUUGUUUACAGAAAACAUACAUUGUCACUGUUAUCAUAUAUUGGAAACAGUAAUUGCCUGCUU